GGCCAUAUCACGUUGAAAUACCAGUUCCCGUAUGAUCACCAAAGUUAAACAACGUUGAACCUGGUCGGUACCUAUAUGGGUGACUGCUUGGGAAUACCAGGUGCUGUAAG
rnacentral:rRNA from 1 species